rnacentral:rRNA from 1 species
GUAGGACACUCUAUACGGAGUUACAAAGGAAUGAUAUAAGCGAAGAGGUCUGGAAAGGCCCGCCAAAGAAGGUAACAGCCCUGUAACUGAAAUGUUGUUCUCUCCAGAGUGGAUCCUGAGUACGGCGGAACACGUGAAAUUCCGUCGGAAUCCGGGAGGACCAUCUCCCAAGGCUAAAUACUCCCUAGUGACCGAUAGUGAACCAGUACCGUGAGGGAAAGGUGAAAAGCACCCCGGAAGGGGAGUGAAAUAGAUCCUGAAACCGUGUGCCUACAAGUAGUCAGAGCCCGUUAACGGGUGAUGGCGUGCCUUUUGUAGAAUGAACCGGCGAGUUACGAUCCCGUGCAAGGUUAAGCAGAAGAUGCGGAGCCGCAGCGAAAGCGAGUCUGAAUAGGGCGCAUGAGUACGUGGUCGUAGACCCGAAACCAGGUGAUCUACCCAUGUCCAGGGUGAAGUUCAGGUAACACUGAAUGGAGGCCCGAACCCACGCACGUUGAAAAGUGCGGGGAUGAGGUGUGGGUAGGGGUGAAAUGCCAAUCGAACCUGGAGAUAGCUGGUUCUCUCCGAAAUAGCUUUAGGGCUAGCCUCAAGGUAAGAGUCUCGGAGGUAGAGCACUGAUUGGACUAGGGGCCCCUACCGGGUUACCGAAUUCAGUCAAACUCCGAAUGCCGAUGACUUAUCCUUGGGAGUCAGACUGCGAGUGAUAAGAUCCGUAGUCGAAAGGGAAACAGCCCAGACCGCCAGCUAAGGUCCCAAAGUAUACGUUAAGUGGAAAAGGAUGUGGAGUUGCUUAGACAACCAGGAUGUUGGCUUAGAAGCAGCCACCAUUUAAAGAGUGCGUAAUAGCUCACUGGUCGAGUGACUCUGCGCCGAAAAUGUACCGGGGCUAAACGUAUCACCGAAGCUGCGGACUGUUCUUACGAACAGUGGUAGGAGAGCGUUCUAAGGGCUGUGAAGCCAGACCGGAAGGACUGGUGGAGCGCUUAGAAGUGAGAAUGCCGGUAUGAGUAGCGAAAGACGGGUGAGAAUCCCGUCCACCGAAUGCCUAAGGUUUCCUGAGGAAGGCUCGUCCGCUCAGGGUUAGUCGGGACCUAAGCCGAGGCCGAAAGGCGUAGGCGAUGGACAACAGGUUGAUAUUCCUGUACCACCUCCUCACCAUUUGAGCAAUGGGGGGACGCAGGAGGAUAGGGUAAGCGCGGUAUUGGAUAUCCGCGUCCAAGCAGUUAGGCUGGGAAAUAGGCAAAUCCGUUUCCCGUAAAGGCUGAGCUGUGAUGGCGAGCGAAAUUUAGUAGCGAAGUUCCUGAUUCCACACUGCCAAGAAAAGCCUCUAGCGAGGUGAGAGGUGCCCGUACCGCAAACCGACACAGGUAGGCGAGGAGAGAAUCCUAAGGUGAUCGAGAGAACUCUCGUUAAGGAACUCGGCAAAAUGACCCCGUAACUUCGGGAGAAGGGGUGCUUCUUAGGGUGUUAAAGCCCCGAGAAGCCGCAGUGAAUAGGCCCAGGCGACUGUUUAGCAAAAACACAGGUCUCUGCGAAGCCGUAAGGCGAAGUAUAGGGGCUGACGCCUGCCCGGUGCUGGAAGGUUAAGAGGAGCGCUUAGCGUAAGCGAAGGUGCGAAUUGAAGCCCCAGUAAACGGCGGCCGUAACUAUAACGGUCCUAAGGUAGCGAAAUUCCUUGUCGGGUAAGUUCCGACCCGCACGAAAGGCGCAACGAUCUGGGCACUGUCUCAACGAGAGACUCGGUGAAAUUAUAGUACCUGUGAAGAUGCAGGUUACCCGCGACAGGACGGAAAGACCCCGUGGAGCUUUACUGCAGCCUGAUAUUGAAUGUUGGUACAGCUUGUACAGGAUAGGUAGGAGCCUUGGAAACCGGAGCGCUAGCUUCGGUGGAGGCAUCGGUGGGAUACUACCCUGGCUGUAUUGACCUUCUAACCCGCUGCCCUUAUCGGGCAGGGAGACAGUGUCAGGUGGGCAGUUUGACUGGGGCGGUCGCCUCCUAAAAUGUAACGGAGGCGCCCAAAGGUUCCCUCAGAAUGGUUGGAAAUCAUUCGCAGAGUGUAAAGGCACAAGGGAGCUUGACUGCGAGACCUACAAGUCGAGCAGGGACGAAAGUCGGGCUUAGUGAUCCGGUGGUUCCGCAUGGAAGGGCCAUCGCUCAACGGAUAAAAGCUACCCCGGGGAUAACAGGCUUAUCUCCCCCAAGAGUCCACAUCGACGGGGAGG